ensembl:lncRNA
CCGAAACAGGAAGGCGGUGAAGUUCAGGUGAGCUCUGGUCAGAGCUCGGCAUGGCUCAGAACACACAUGAUGGUGCUUCGGAUAGUCAGGCUGAUGAAAUUAUGCAGUCAGCCAGGCGCUUACUGCAUUUAAUCAGUUCGUCUGAAAGACAACGGUGUGCAGCCAGUGGUGGAGUAACAAAUCAAGUUCUGAGAGAACAGAGGCAUACAGAGAGACCAUCACUUCAAAUGGAAAUGACCAGGUCCUUUCCAGGUGUUUUUAUCAAGGGCAGAGGGAAGAGGUGCUUUCCUGCAGCAAAUCUUGUUCCUGCCAAGAGUUAUGUGAUGCCCUCAAAGUUUUAUUUCCAAAAUUGGGGGCCGUGACUGGUGGGUGGCUGCUAUACAAAUCUGCAGGUGGAUGGGGUAGCCGAAAACUCUCUCUUGUGGCUCCUGAUGAGACUGGCUAUACAGGCAUGGUAUUGAAGUCUGUAAGUCGUGGGGGUAAAAAUCUAUUCAUAGCCCCAAUUCAAGAGGAACUCAGCACAAAUCCCCUACCACUAACUGAUGAAGCAUUCAGUAGCAUGCCAAAAGCCACAUGUCAGAAGUGUGGAGUUGCAGUUCCUCUUCCACUCCUGACAGAACACCUCAAGUCUUGUGAUGUCAUGUAUGUUGGCAGUGAUGAUAACCUGGCUAAUGUGGAAAGCAGUGAGCCUGAAGACAGAAAAUUUAAGAAUUCUUAAUUUUAAGCUUUUGUGAGCAUAUUGUAUAUUAUUAAACAGCAGAAAAACUAUUUUGAAAUUAACACUGUUCUUGGUUGUAACUUCAACAGCACAUAUGCAGGAAUGUCCUGUCUGCACAAAAAUGUUUCCUACUGACUUUAUUGAGGUACACGCUUCUUCAUGUGUGGAAAGGUAUCCAUUUACUUUGUAUUGUUAAUGUUUUUUCUCUUGUCAGGAAUUCCUACACUAUCAGUUAAACACAGAAAUAUUUGUAUUUGGGUAGGGCAGGAAAAGAGGUGAUGCAUGAAAGCAUUGUAAUUGAGGAAGAGCAAGCAGCAAUGCCUGGACCAUCCGGAACUUGUGCAACUGCUACAGAUGGCUGGUUAACUAUCAGUGACCCCACCAAGGCCAUAUCUCAGUGUGCUGACAGUUUUCUCCGUAUUCAUGAAACGAAGAGCCCCUUACUUCUCAGCAUGGACAUCAGAAAAAGUCCUGCUGAACAGGACAUGGCCUUAAUCUCCUUCUACAAGCGAACUAAUGUGGAAUGGGGACGGCCUCUGAAUUGCAAACUUGAAGGAGAUUGUGCUAUUGGACAGGGUGUAACUCGCUUCUUUUUCUCAAAAUGCAUGGAAAAACUGAAGUCAGGGUUUUGCAUCAAUUUUGCAAACUCAAAUGUUACACGGCUUUUUGAAGGAGAGCCUGGUCAUUUAGUCCCCUCAGCCUCUCACUUUCUUGUGGAAAGUGAUAUGUUCAUGGUAGCGGGGAGAAUGGUAGGCCACUCCUUUCUUCAUGGAGGACCAUGCCUGUUGGGGCUCAGCCCUGCUGUUGUUCAUGUCCUGCUUGGUGGGAGUCCUGAAACUGCAACUGUUACACUACAGGACUGUCCAGACCUGGACAUCAGAGAAACAAUCGAUCUUCUUGAUGGGGGAUCCAUACUGUCAGAUAAGGAUAAACAGCGUGUCCAGGACCUGGCCCAUGCCUGGGACCUCCCUUGCCUAACUGAGAAAAACAGGAGAUGGCUUUUUGAGAAGCUAUUGAUCCAUGCUGUAAUCGGACGUGUCACAAGGCAAAUUAAGCAGCUGAGACGAGGUCUUAAAGAAACCCCAAUGUGGACACUGGUGACCCAAAGACCUGACACAGUGGCCUUGCUUUUUCCGAAAGAGGGAGCAGGAAAUUUCAGCCCUGAGGUACUACUUCAGCGACUCACAUGGCCUCAUGAGGAUAGUGACGAUGACGACGAUUGUUCAGUUGACACCAAAUGCCGCAUAUCAGGCUAUCUUCGACAGUUCAUUGCUAAUGCAACACCAACUGAACUGACCGAACUGGUCAAAUUCUGGACCGGAUGGGAGAUUAUACCACCGAGUCUCUCUGUAGAAGUGGUCGAGGGCAGAUACCCCACAGCCUCCACUUGCUUUGAGACCUUGCGCAUCCCAGGGCAUUACAAGGAUUACACAUCUUUUAAAUGUGACAUCCUGGCCUGUAUUGACAGUUGCCAUACAGGAUUUGGUCUUGUGUGAGUGACAUUUGGCUUGUAUUUACCCUUGUAAGACAAUAUUUGAUGUUAAAAUGUUUGUUUUUAAGCUUGUUAGUUCUGUUAAAAGACCUGUUGUAAACUCUCACACUCAAAGAAAACAAUCAGGAAGUUGUUAAUGUAUACUGAAUAUAUUUUCACACUGUUACUGAGAGUACUUUGCAGUAACCUUUGGCAAUAAAAGGUCAGUUCAUUGAGGUAAACUUUUGACUCUGAACUCCUGUGAAGCCCUCGUAUAACCACUGAAAUGCUAUAUUUUCCCCCCCCAAUUUCCAUCUCAGGUUUGGGAAUAAACCUCAAUGUUCAAAAUAAUGCAUUGCUUUUUCCUGGUUCAUGAUGCUUUCACACGGUGUAAGGGGGACGGACAGCGAAAGAGAAGUGCAAUAAAAAUGAGCAGCCAUUUAUUUUUCUUUGACAAUUUAGUACACUAUAAACUUCAGACUUAAAACCUGUUUGAGUUAAGUAAUCAAUCAUAAAAUGGCUAGACUGUUAAGCAGUUGAUAUACCUUUUCAUUCAUGUUAUUUUAAUAGGUUUACGUAACUUGUCAUAAAUGGAAUUAUUUUGUGAUUUAGGCAUAGGUCUUUUUGAAACAGACCACCCUACUUAAACCAGUGAGAAGAAAAAUGUGAUAACCAAAAUUGUGUUCAUGUAGAAUAAAAUGUCUUUAUAGAAGUUAUAAUUGUUGACCAAUGCAUUAAUACACAAUGUCCUUACAACUGCAUCCGUAAUAAAUUGUUUAUAUGCUGAUUAUACGAGAAAUAGGGGGCCCUUAAGUGUUACUGAGAAAAUAGUAAUAAUUAGGGUCAGCUUUCCCAGUAAAAUUUGGUAUAUAUCUUAAGUUUUGCAGUUUAACAUGUUCUUUGUAAACCAUCUCUGCACUGAUAAGUGUCACCGGACCCCCCCGUCUCAGUUUCCAAGGUGUUACGCUGCUAUAUUAUUGUGCUGGGGGACAUGAGGGAUGUACUACUAACUUUUCUCAGUUUCCUCCAGUUUUAAAUUUUAGAAGGAGAUGAGGUCCUGGUCCACACCUGCGGAGUACCUGGUUUGGGGGGACCGUUGCUGUUCCUGUCCUUGUCCACCUGGUCAUACUUCUGACCUAGUCUAAAAUCAAAUAUACUCUGGAUUUAGCCCAGAGAAAUUUAUUAUUCCAAUUGGACUCUUAAUCUCACCCGGCACUGCCAGAAGAGGACUGGUCACCCCUCUGAGCCUGGGUCCUCUCUAGGUUUCUUCCUAAAAUUCGACCUUCAUAGGGAGUUUUUCCUAGCCCCUGAAUUUCAACACUACUGUUGUUUGCUCCUUGGGGUUUAUGGCCGGGUGUCUCUGUAAAGCACUUUGUGACAACUGCUGUUGUAAAAAGUGCUUUAUAAAUAGAUUGAUAACAUUGAAGCAGGCGUUACGUGAACUAUAAGAGGGUGAAAGCUCUUUUUGUAACGUUCCUUGUGUUACAUUAAGUAAACCAAAGGUGUUUAAAGUGA